rnacentral:rRNA from 1 species
CCUACGGGAGGCAGCAGUGAGGAAUAUUGGUCAAUGGACGAGAGUCUGAACCAGCCAAGUAGCGUGAAGGAUGACUGCCCUAUGGGUUGUAAACUUCUUUUAUAUGGGAAUAAAACGUUCCACGUGUGGGAUUUUGUAUGUACCAUAUGAAUAAGGAUCGGCUAACUCCGUGCCAGCAGCCGCGGUAAUACGGAGGAUCCGAGCGUUAUCCGGAUUUAUUGGGUUUAACGGGAGCGUAGGUGGAUUGUUAAGUCAGUUGUGAAAGUUUGCGGCUCAACCGUAAAAUUGCAGUUGAAACUGGCAGUCUUGAGUACAGUAGAGGUGGGCGGAAUGCGUGGUGUAGCGGUGAAAUGCUUAGAUAUCACGAAGAACUCCGAUUGCGAAGGCAGUUCACUGGACUGCAACUGACACUGAGGCUCGAAAGUGUGGGUAUCAAACAGGAUUAGAUACCCCAGUAGUC